rnacentral:rRNA from 1 species
AGCAGCCGCGGUAAUUCCAGCUCCAAUAGCGUAUAUUAAAGUUGUUGCAGUUAAAAAGCUCGUAGUUGAAUUUCGGGGUCAGUAGAUUGGUCAUGCCUCCGGUAUGUACUGGUCUUACUGGCUCCUCCUUCCUGAUGAACCGUAAUGCCAUUAAUUUGGUGUUGCGGGGAGACUGGACUGUUACUUUGAAAAAUUAGAGUGUUUAAAGCAGGCUAACGCUUGAAUACAUUAGCAUGGAAUAAUGAAAUAGGACGUUCGAUCUUAUUUUGUUGGUUUCUAAGAUUGACGUAAUGAUUAAUAGGGAUAGUUGGGGGCAUUAGUAUUCAAUUGUCAGAGGUGAAAUUCUUGGAUUUAUUGAAGACUAACUACUGCGAAAGCAUUUGCCAAGGAUGUUUUCAUUAAUCAAGAACGAAAGUUAGGGGAUCGAAGACGAUCAGAUACCGUCGUAGUCUUAACCAUAAACUAUGCCGACUAGGGA